AGAGGAGAUGCCAUCCCACACAUGGCAAGAAAGAAGGGGCAGGGGGUGGAGCCUGGGAAAGAGCAGUUGGUUCCUGCCCAGGAGGAGGGGAGGGUGGCGAGGAGACCCCAGGAAGAGGGAAAGAGGAAAGACAGCACGGUGCAUGGAGGGGCCACUAUGGCCCACGCAGCUCCCCCACAGAAAGAGGGCAGAGCACAGCAGCUGAGCAGUAGACUGCAGAGACCAGCAGACGCUUGGCUAAACCCCGGGAAAGAUGGAGGCCCUCGUGGGGCAGCAGGGUGGGACCUUCUGCUGAGAAGUGGGCCGGGAGAACGGGGGGACCAGUGCGCCUGGAGCUCCUGCGUGAAAAAGAUGAACCAAACCCUCCAGACUCACCUGGGGAUGGGGGCACUCUGAGCUGGAUGUUUCCCUAGGCCAUGGCCAAAAGCCGUCCUUCUCUUUCCCUUUACAACACACGGAGGGCAAGACCAUGUCAAGGAGCUGUUCCCAAAGCCUGUUACCUGGCCUUUGUCUCCAUCAGAAAGCAGAAGAGCUCUUGUAUUAGAGACUGUGGCCAAGGGCGCCUGGGUGGCUCAGUGGAUUAAAGCCUCUGCCUUUGGCUCAGGUCACCGUCCCAGGAUCCUGGAUCAAGCCCCGCAUCAGGCUUUCUGCCCAGCAGGGAUCCUGCUUCUCUGUCUCUCUCUACCUGCCUCUGUGCCUACUUGUGAUCUCUGUCCAUCAAAUAAAUAAAUAAAAUCUUAAAAAAAAAAAAAGAAAAGAAAAGAAACUGUGGCCAAGAGGAGUGAAGAGACAGGAGGAAGAGGAGGGCGGAGUGGGCAGGAUCAUGGACAGAAACCACCGGGAUGAUUGGGGAAGGUCAAUUUAAAGCAUAAACAAGGCUUCGUGGGGGUCCUGUUUCCUCUCUCUAGGUGUGCCAUGUCUCAGAAUCUUCCAUGUCUCAAAAUGCUGCAGCC
rnacentral:lncRNA from 1 species